CAGAUGGCGCGGCGAGUACCACGCGUGGUCGCGCGGGGUGUCCCGCAAUCGAGUCUCACUCGCAAUCGACAAGUCCUCUAUCCGAUUCUUCGGCCCGCCAAACAGAGGCCUAAGAACUUCGAACGCCGAGGUGAAUAUAUUCCUACAACGUAAAACACAAAAUCAUCGGAAAAGAUCUGACCGGGCGGCAGCUUCACGGAGGGUAUCUUCUCCUCGACGAAGUCCAGACUAGCACACAUCGCACUAUCGA